UUCUUUUUAAGGGGUUGAUCUGCUAAAGGGGCUGUUAGAGAUGGAGCUUCACCUGUCCCUUUGUAAAACCUGUGUUUGUGGUAUAGCCAAGAGUAGGAAAAUAAAUUCCCAUGGGCAGUGUGUGUCUUUUUUAUUCUUUUCUGUGUUGUGCACACACUAGAGUAGGUGUUUCUUGCUCUAAGACUGGCUCAUACUUCUGAGAGGCCCAGGCAGAGCAAAUGCUUCUUUCCUUUCAGCACUGCCUACGUUUAGGCUUUCUGUGGCUUUACCUUGAACAUAUGGUUCCCACUUUUGCUUUUGGGAAUGCUCUUCUUGUCUGUUGACCAAGGCAGAGCUGUGGUUGACAACAAAUGGUUCUCAUCCAGAGGGAGUGGAAAGUGACUAAAGGGCAUAAUUUUGGCCGAAUGGUGUUUUUUCUUCUUUUUAGUUGAUAGUUUCCUACAGGGUUCUCAAAGCCUCGUUCUUAGUGCAGGUAGGAUUGAAACAGUGGGACUGCUAUAACCAGGCUUGCUGGUUUGGGCAAAAAAGGCACACUGAGGAGUAAGAAAAUGUUAAGCAUCAAAGAACUGAAAUCACUAGUAAACCAUUGGGCUUUUUUGUUCCAAUAUAUUAUUGGAGGAAAGAGAGGGAGUUUUCCUUUUUAAAAAAAAAAAACAACAUUUAGCUCUUUUAAAUCUGCAAAGUAGAAGUUGAUAUUCUAGGAGAAAGUUGGGGUUUCUUUCUGCAUGUAGAUUCAGGUAGAACAACUGGGGAACAAAAAUCCCUGGCAAAUGGUAAAGGUGACCACAGCAUUGACAAAGUGAGCCAGAAGCGCUGCUGGGUUUCUUUUUAUGAUAUUUAACAUUUUCUUUCAACUUGGUUUCAUUUUAAUAACUGCAAGUGCCAAAUACAGCAGAUGCAGACAGAAGGAAAGGAGACAAUAAAGUUAUUUAAAGUAAGCCAAGAGCAAGCUGAAAUUUUACUGCAGUACCAUUAUUAUAUUGAUUUUUUUCACACUGUAGAAAAACAAGGUCAAUGCUGCAGAAGGAAACAUUAGGCCAAAGUGUGAUUGGUUGUAAAAAUUUUCCAUGGCAUCUUAAAAUUAUUUUCAUUUGAAAGAAGCCGCUCGGAUUCUGAUCAAAACAUAUUUAGAGUUCUCCAGAUGCUAUCCACAGAUAGAUGCAUUUCAAUCAUGCUUUGUCUGGAGAUGAUUGAGGCUAUUUUGGAGCCAAAGCAGUGGUUUCAUUUAUCACGACCUUUGUUCCUGGGUCUACUUAGAGUCCAACGAUUGUCUGGAACUGAUCAGCCCUUUUCCCAGAUGUUCAAAAGCAUUUUGAAGCUUAUCAGUGCUAGUAAACCAUAUGUUUAUUAGGGGAGAGGAGGCAGGAACAGCAAGUUAAAUGCUUUUUGAUCAUAUGCUCAAUGUGAACCGUCUUCUAAAUUACCUUAUUAGACAAUUUUCUGAUGACUUUCCUUAGUAAGAAUGUUUUGGCAUGAAUAGAUCAAAAGCAAAAAAUAGACAAGAAUGGAGGUAGCAUGGGACAUUUUUUGUUCUGAGAACUGUUAAUCAACUGUGUAAUCUCCCAUACAAUAAAUGUGUAAAUAUGUAUAGAGUUUUUGCCCCAGCUUCUGCUGCUGUGAAUCAGCUAAACAGCUCUAAAAAUUCAAAAUUGCAUGUAUUAAAGAGGAAAAAACGUUGAAAAAGUGAGGUAGAUAGGAUGAACAGAGAUGCAAGGGUGUGGUGCCUAGCAGGCUUCCAACUAAUGAUGUGAAAUGGUGUCAGAAAAAAAAUCAGGUGCUCCCACAGACACCUGUUCACCCUGCCCGACUCUGUCUCUCUCCUUCACACGCAGCAGAUUUACACUUGGGGUCAGCAGUGUAACCAGCCAGGGCCUUUCUCUUGUAGAGUCCAGCUAAUUGUCAGGCAUAAAAAAUUAUAUCCAUAUAAUGAGGAAAUCACAAGUAAGAAGAAUAAUGUGGUUGCUUGGUUUAUUUAAAAAAUAAAAAUAUAAAAAUUAAAAAUAUAAAAAUAUUUUAAAAAUAAGCCAAGCAUGUGUAAAGUUUCCAUGAGCUAUGGAGAGUUCACAACCUACUCUCUGCAACCAUUUUGUGAGCAUAUUUAUGGGGUACCAGCUCAUGGGGGACAGGUGUCAUCUUAAAGCUGAAUUUCUUACUUCUGUUUUGUGGAUAUUUGAUUGCUUAGCUGCCCUUCUGCAGGGCUGAACCUUCCCAAACAUUAUGGCAGAUGUCAUCAAGCUCAGUGACAGGGGUGUGCCCCGGUGACACGGGUAAAUAAACUGUCAUGGUGUUGGGAAGCCAGAAGAUUGAGAAGCUGGUCCUCCUUAUCUCAUUUUUCAAGGAUAUGGGUACAGCCAGCAGUGGUCCUCCACGCUGAGGACAGAAAAAACUCUCUGUGCCAUCCAGUUGCCAGUUUUGACUUUACAUACCUUCCAGACCUGGUUUGAAGAUCUCAAACCAUAGAGGCCAACCAUCCAUCUCUCUUCAUUUUGUGUUCCUGCCAAUUAGUUAUUCUCUCAGUUAAAAGUUUGUUUCAUUUCUUUUGUAAGUCAUCUAGUCUGUCUUCAAACCUUUGGUCCUUGGUUCCUCUAGUUUCCUGCUGUUGACCAGUCCUGGUAGCCUCCAAAUAACUGUGUAUCUUUUGCAUCAUCUCCAUUCUUCAUUUGCCUUUGAAAAUAUGGAUGCUAAAAUCAUAUAGGUACCAAAACCAUAUGCAUCCUUUCAGCAUCACUCACCAUUCCCUUGCAUGUUUCCGUGUCUGUGCAGAUAAUAAUUGCUCCAGACUUUUUUGCCAAAGUGCUAAGUCAAUAGUUAUUAAAAAUGCAUAUACAUGGCAUCAUCCUCAAUUACAUGUUAUCAAACAGAGUCAUAGUCUUGUCAAAGAUUGAAAUUAAGUCUGACAAGACCUGUCUUCUGGAUACCUGUAUUGGCAGACAUUGGUCAUAUUCCUGUCCUUCAGCUCGUGAUUAACUGAAUCCUAAAGUGACAAAUUCAAAACAGAGGAAAAAAUUUCUUUUCUCUCUGACAUGUCACUGAAUUGUAAAACUUGCUGUGUUGGUGAUGGAAUUGGUCGGGGAAUUCAUAGAUUAAUUGUUUUAAGGACCACUAGGCUACCUAAUCUGGCUGAACCAUUUGGUCUUUAAAAUUAUGUAAAUGUAUGUAAGAUUAAAGACUUCACCCUGAGUUAUGUGAUAUGAACGGAAAAAGCAUUGGAAAGGAGAGAAAAAAAUUGAUCAAAUUAAUUGUUGGUGGGAGAUGAAACCAUCUUCAGCAGGGAGCUUAGAUAUAAGACCAGCCAUGAGGGGGGUUGGAUUUGGUCUAUGCUUUUAUGCUUCUGGAAGAGCUUUUUACUUCUUUCUGUGGAGGACUUUAGAAGGUUUUUAUUACUAAUUAUUAAUGUGUAGGAGAACUUUAAAACUAAUUAUACUUUUCAGACCUUUGAAAUUUAUUCUCAAAGCGUACCUGUAACCUUCUUACCACAGAUGCUUUGGUACAAAUCACACUUAGUGGAUCUGCCACAUUUAAGUGGUUAUGGAUGUUUAGUUUGAGUUAUUUAAACAGAAAAGCUGUCUCUUCCUGAGCUUUAUUUUUUGCUGAACAAAAUGACGAGGAGACUUUGCACUGCUAUAACCUAUUUCAUUGGAGGCUGCCAGAAAACAUCAGAAAAACUAUUUAGACCUCAUCAACUUUUAAGAAAUAGUUUAAUGCUGCACACCCAGUAUAUUGACAGGGAAAGUGAGGUACUCAGAGGUAGGGAUUUUUUGGUUUUUUCUACUCAUUCUGUGCCACUAUGAGCAAAGUUUCAGCUCCUUUACUCAAUUUCUUUUUUCUGCCCUGGUGCUAUAUCUGAAGAGUUGGUCCACAGACCAGCACCAAGAGUCAUCACAGUUUGAAGGGAUGAGUCCUUCACAGGAGGUACUUCCUCAGCUCCUUGAAUGCCUGAAGUAGUCAAUAGGAAAGUGCAAAUCCUGCCAUUAAACUCUAUGUUCAGAUCAAUUUGUCAGACACUGAUGAGCCCAGUCAUGUAUGAUGAUUUAGCUCAGAUUUGGGUCUGUCUGUGCAUGGUGGGGUUUUCUGCAGUGAGGUUAUUUAUUGCUCAAAGGAAGCUCUCCAAGAAAUCCUUAUAAGACUACAGCACUGCUUAAGAUAUUGGCAACAAACAGUCUAAAAUUCAUUUUUAAGGAUGCUGCACACCAUUCCAGCUGUUUUUUCUGUUCAUCUCAGCAGCACCUUCAUUCUUUGUUGCUUUUCCGAAUUACUUUGCAAGUUACUUGUACAAUUUUCUCCAUCAAAGCUCCUGUAUCACAGCUUCAAUUUAGAAGUGUUGUCAUGGGCUGUAAUUUGAAAUUUUAUUACCAAGAGAUUUUUUGGUUAUAGAACAUUUACUUUUAUCAUCUCUAUAUUAUUUUUAAAUGCCUGAAAAGAUUGAUACAUCAACAGAAUCUGUGCAACACCAGGCAAGAUCUGAUUUUUUUUCACAACCUUAAUUUUAAAAACUCUUUGCUUGAAACAUAAAUUGAUUCCUAAGUCCCCCGCCCCCCCCCCCCCACUUAAUGAUUUGUUAUUCUCAAGGUUAAACCUAUGACAAAUUUUACAAAAACACCAUUCUUCAGUUUUGAUAAGAUUUUCUCUAGUUGAGCUCAGGGAUAGCUGUGUAGUUUUAAGUCUUUAAAUAGCAUAACAGAGAUGUGAUCCUGGCCUCCUGUGUUCACAGUACUCCCAUAGCAUUUAAGACUCUCAUGUUGUUGCUACCGGAGUUUGUCCUACUGUGGUUAGCCACAGUUAUGAUGUGGGAGGGAAGACAGUGAUGUUAAAACAUCUGUUAACCUCUCUGGAAAGUCAAGCAAGGAUUGCAGGGAAAAAAACAGCCCCUACUGUCUUUGUGUUUCAGUGCAACUAAAUAGCAUUAAAAAAUAAGUGGAGAGGGAAGAAAAUUAUUAUGGUAAAGGAAAAAUAAAUCGGCAUGGCUGAGGAAUGCACGGUAAAAAGGAAUAAAGUGGAACAGCACAGAAGUAAAGUGUUAUAUUCUUCUUUCCUUCACAGGCCAAAAAAUGUAGUUCCCUCAACAACAGCCUGUCAUAUGCAGAUGAUUUGCUGUAGGUUGCAGGAUUUGUGUUGUCUGUUCUAUUUCUCUCGCUUUGGAGGUGAUGAUUUACUAAGCUGGUGUAUGGUUUCCACAAAUAUUUAAAAUAUUGAUUAAGCAGAGGAAGAAUAAACACGAAUUGUUUUUCAAGUUACGCCUUAUGUUGUACAUGACUAAUUACAUACAACAAUUUGCUCUGCUACGGUAACUGAAAUUUAUGUACUCUUUUUAUUAUAAAACAUAAGACGCUUGCAUAAAGAGAGCGAUUAUAAAUAUUGGAAUACAACAGUUGCUAAAAAACAGUCAAAACAUGCAGUGAUAAAGUAUAUGGGAUUUGCUCUUCCAACUUCUCUGUGCAAAGCUGCUCCUCCAUAACCCUAGGGUUUGUAUUGAGAGUUGGCAUAUUUUUGUCACCAUUUCAGAGAGUAGCCUGGUGAUCUGGACACAAAGCAGCAGUCUGGCCCAAGUGCAAAUUAUUGUGAUGGUACAAAAGGCUUCAGUUGCUGGAUGGCAGAUAGUGAAAGUGAUUUUUUCCUGGGAGCAUAUUUUUACCUAUGGAUAAUUUUUUAAAAUAGACUAAUGUCCAGUUUCAUUGGUAAAUGAGAUGCAGGCGUAUUCCACCUAAUCAGAGGCUUCUGAUGCAUAUGAAGCUCCGAUUAUGGCAGACUAUUACAUGAAUGUUUAGGAAAUCAGAGCAAUGCUGAGUAUAUAGCACUCAAUGGUCUCUAAUAGAAUACAAGGACAGGUUUUCCCUGGCACCUAAAUCCCAUUCUCCUGGUUGUUUAGGUUUGAAAGUUCAAUAAGCUUUGCACAAUUUACCUUUUUGGGCUGACACACCAUUUAAUUGGAGUGCAGCUUCUAGACUGAGCCUUUUGUGGUGCCAUCACACCAGCCCAGGUAGGCUGAAACCAGCAGAUUACACCACAAAAAAAUACCAUUGUAGUAUCAUCCUUAUAUCCUCAAAUAAUUUUGAGAGUUCCUUUUGAGGGAUCAACAUGGCUUGUACCAGGAAUGAGAGGAGGAAGCAGAUGGAUUUGGUCAUUGACUCUCAGGACACUUUUUUUCUUUAAGCUAAUUACAAAUUGACCAAAAUAUCUGUAAAUUGAACUCGACAAUGACUUCUGCUGAAGUAAUCACAUUACUAAAAAAAAAUUACAACUCCUAGGAGGUAUUUUUACCACCAGGGGACAGGAGAGCAAAGGGAGAUCAGUGGUGGGUUCCAAAACUGACGUGAUGAAGGCCUUGAAGUAGAGCAACCAGUUAUUCCCUUUCAAGGAAGUGGAGAGAUACCUUGGGUGUUUUUCAGACUCCUCUGUAGAAGGCUAUUCCUAAUCAUCUGUGGCCCAUAGAGAGGGCUUAAAUUGUGCUGAUGGUCUGCUACUUCCUCUUAACAUCUUAUUUUAGUAUUUUUUCUCAAGUGUAGCUGUACAUAUUUUUAGUAGUAUAGAAAUUGGGACAUACAAAUGUGGGUUUAGUUUGUCAAGUUUUGUAGAUACUUUAUUGGACCAAAAUUGGUUGGAAAGCUCUGGCAUGCUCAUUAAUCUGUAAAGUCAUAAAAAGCCACUUGGAUUUUUUUACUUGCAGUGUGUUUAUCAUCUGUUGAAAGAGCUAAGAGGUCUGGCCAGUUUCUAGGCCCAGUUCCAUUUGAAGAUGAAAGGCAGCAUUUUUGAAGCACUAAUUGACAUCACCAAAUACUUACAAGGUCACAAACAUGACAGCUUUGGGUAAAGAAAAAGGAGUAUUUCUGGGCUUUGGCACUUUGAUCAAAAAGUUUCUUGACUUCCAGAAGAGAUAAAUAUCAAUAAUAAAACCUAAACAAAAUUUGUAUUGGCCAGGAUUUAAGUGCUUGAUUCUUUGAAAUUAUUUAGAGUUCUUUUUUAUUUUCUUAUUUCUUUUUUUGCCAUUACUUCGUUUUCAUGUGUUUUAGUUGCAGAUUAUCCAUUCCAAAUGCAGCAAAAUAUAUACUUCUGUUGUUUCAGGAGUCAUGGGGGUUUUAUUAUAAAAUUUGUCGUAGCCUCCUGUCAGGCUGAAAAAGCCUAGGAGCUGCCUUGCCUGUGAUUUGAUGUGGGUUUAUUUCCAAGGAGCAUUGCUUCUAAAGGAGGGCAGGGCAGGUUUCCUGGCUUAUAGGUGCUUAUAAUUGUAACGUUGGUGGUUGUCGUUUAGGAACAUAUUGCUGUUGUCACCAUCAAAUGCAGCCACAAAAAGAAUUUUGCAAGGAAUCACCUGAUGGUUUCCUAUUAUUUUUACUGUCAAUACUUGAUAAGUAGGGCCCAGAAAUUAUUUUUGACAGAGCCAAUCCUUUCUCAACAAAGUAGUUUCGGAUUUUGGUGUUGCAUGAAGAGAGUAAUGUCUGAGAAAUCAUUGAGUUGAUGAGGGGAUGAGUUGAUUAAGAUAUAGAAGAGCCUGAUGCAAACAGUUUGUUAGAAGGUUACAGUACUGGUUGGGUGGGAUGUCUGCAUACCAUAAUUUUUAUUAUAACAGGAGCACAGUGGCAAUUUUUAAAAACUACCGUUUCGAUGCAUAGCAGAAGGAAAAUACAUUGUAUGCCAGACAUAAUAUUUUCUUGAUGGCAUUGGUUUUCUCAGCUUGCUGAUUAAUAUGUAGUUUCAAUUUAAAAGUUGCUUGCAAAACAAAUGAACCAAAUGAAUAAAAAGAAAGAAAAAAAUAGAAGGGAGCCAAGCUUCACUUCUCCCUGUGAUUUUUAUGGGCCUUGGGUUCCUGCUUGAUAUGACACUUGUCUGUGAAGUUGAUAGACAUAAAAAUAAAUUUGGCUCUGGGAGUGAUAAACAGGAAAUUAAACUCUGCUCUCUGGCUCCUUUUACUGGGAAUGCUGCACCUUCAAAUGCUGGACACAGGCUGAUGUGCUCCAGGCAUACCGGGAAGCUCUGAUCAGCCAGGGCUGACACUCCAAACUGACAUUAAAGCAUCACCACUGCCCUGUCUACAAUCCUGAAAAUCCUCUUGAAAAGGUGCCCAGACCUUGAAGAGGAGCAUGAGGAUCUUGUGACUCUGUGGCAUGAAGUGUAGGCAGCCUGGGCUGUUCCGUUGGAGGAUUGUUCUGUCGAUGCCACAGCAAUGCCAGGAGUCACGUUACUACAGCGAUGCUGAAUGUGCUCCAUCCCACCCAAACAAUGCACACAAGGUGCUACCAUCUUCUGCAGAAAUGGGCACACAGUGACUCACUACCUUAUGGGUGUGCAAAACAGGGCUCAUUGUCAAUGCCUGCAAGAGCACAGUAGGGGAGACCAUGGAAGGAAUUCCUCACACUUUUUCCUCAUUCUGGUUUCACUCUGUAGAAGCAGUUCUGAUGAAGAUGUAUAAUCUAACAUUUCUUUUAAAAGUAGUAUGUGAAAAAAUAUAAACUUAUGGGCAUAUUUCUUGGGUUUUCUCUUGAAAUUUGAGGCAUUACUAAAUGUUCAAGUGUUGGUUAGCUGCUGUAACAUUCUGUUCUUGGAUGAAAUGGGCACUCUUCAGGAAACAAAAUGCACAUUUAUUUGGUUUGGAGGAACAGACUAUUCCAAAUUCUCCCAGAAGUUGGUUUGCCUCAGCUGUUUUUGGUUGUUCUCUGCUCCUGUCAAGCUGAAACAUAUGUGGUUGUUACCCAAUACAAUUUAGCAUCACCAAACCGGUCACUUUGGAAAACAAAGCUCGCAGAAGUUCUGCAGAGAAAUAUAUGCUGCCUGUGAAGUGGUAUUUGUGUGUAAAGUGAUAUGCACCCACUGUAUAAAUAAUGAAUAAUAACUAGUAAUAAAUUCUUCAUAUCAUAGCAUUAUUUCUUACUGUUCAUGAUUCCGGGUGUUUUGUGGUAAUCCUGAAACAAAGCACUGAGAAGUAUAUGAGUAAUAUUUACUACUGCUAAGUUGUUGCACAAACAUGUCAGGAAAGAGAAGCUUUUUUGGCUGUGUAAUUUGAAUGUUUAAGACUAUAUAUUGUUUAUAUUAUAAUAUUUUAUAUGAUUAAAGUUAUCCUUUGAUUCCAAAGGAACGUAAAAUGUUAUACAAAGCUCAUACAUUCAAAACCACUGAAGUAAUGCAUGCAGAAACAUUUGUCAGCCCACAAGUGAAACACCCCUGAAGAAUGAUGCUGGGCAUAAUUUGACCACGUGUUCCCCUGCAAAUCCAUAUUCUUUUUCAGAAGUGCCAGUCAUUGUAAGAGGAGCUUACAAAGGUGUUGUACAAGACCAUGCAGAAGGAUCCAGUAGUUCACCAAUGGCAAUCUCCUGGUGGCACAGGAAUUGCUCAGCCCCUGUACAAGAGCCAAGCAGGCAUACCUGGAAACCAUCCUGCCUGAACAUGGAAAUCCUGAGCAAACUCAAUGAACAAAGGAAGUGUAUAGGAACAGGGAGAAUCACAGAAUUGUUAAGGUUGGAAGGGACCUCUGCAGGUCCUCUGGUCCAGCCCCUUUACUCAAGCAGGGUCACCUCGACUCAACUGCCAAGGACCAUAUCCAGAUGGCCUUGAAUUAUCUCCAAGGAAGGUGACUCCAGUCCUCUCUGGGCCACCUAUGCCAAUGCUCUGUCAUCCAAACAGCAAAACGGUGUUCCUGAUGUUCAUAAAAUCACAGAAUCAUUUAGGUUUAAAAAGAUCUUUAAGAUCAUCAAAUCCAACUGCUAAUCCAGCGCGGCCAAGCCCACCACAAAUACAUGUCCCCAGGUGCCAUAUCUACAUGUCUUUUAAUACCUCUAGUGGUGGUGACUCAACCACUUCCCUGGGCAGCCUAUACAAUGCUUGAUAACUUUCCAGUGGAGAAAUUUUUCCCAAUAUCCAAUCUAAACCUCCCCUAGUUUAACUUGAGACCAUUUCCUCUUGUCCUAUUGCUUGUUACGUGGGAGAAGAGACCGACCCGCACCUCGCUACAAGCUACAAGCUCCUCCUGUUUGUUGCCCAUGCUGUGUGUAUUAGUGUAGGUGCAGGGGCCAAAACUGGAGCCAAGUCCCAAAACAGCUCUAGAAUCUCCAUGGUAAACACUGCAAACUCAGCUGCACAUGACCAGGAACACUCUGGUCUGAUAUCCAAGUGCAUUUUGUUUUGAGCAGGAGUGGGCUGAGUGAUUUGCAGAGGUCCCUUCGAACCAAAAGCAUUCUGUAAUAUCCUAACAUUAUCCUAGAAUUGAAUCACCAUUUCAAUGUACUUCCCAAGAUGGUUUUUUUUGUCAGUUUGCUUUAAAACGAUACCCAGAAUCCUCACUGGUCAGUAACUACUAGAACUUUGGAUUUAUUUUAGGUCUUCUGAGCCUAACUCCUAUCUUGGCAUAGUCAUCACAGUUUUGCUUUUGAACAGCUUGUUUCCUUUAUAGUUUUUGCCUCAUGCUGGGAUGGAGUAAGACUGAAUAAUUUAUCUUCCUUUUCCUCAAAAGCCGAGCAAUAGUUAUACCCCACAUGGAUUUGAGACAUUAUUAUCUUUCUAAGCUUCCAUUAAUUAUCUUUAUCAUCCUUGCUUUUAAAGGUCUAGCAUUUAUCUUUGCAAGGUUCUUCAAGCUGGAUUAUCGAGGAAAAUUUGAGUGUAUUAAUUCCAUUCUUGCUUAUGAAGUUUUAAACUCUAUUUCAUAACAUUUUUUCCACUGCUCGUAAUAAUUCUUCUGGUAGUUUUGCUGUGACCGAAGUGUCUGAUGUGUAGAAUUGAUGGCUUUUAGGGUCAUCAUGCACAUGCAUAAUUAUCUCAGAUGUACUGCUUUGAUUAAAACACACAGAUGGAUACAGAUUUUGAAGAUAUGGAUCACACAUACUUUGUUAGCCACAUACAAAGCUGCCAUUCACCUUGUUUUCUCAGCCUGCUUAGAAAUAGGAACUGCUUUACAGUAAAGUUGAGCUCUGAAGCAGCGCAGGAUAAUGCUAUUUCAAGUUUUCUUAGAUGUCAUCUCAGCUUCAUUUGUACAACUGUUUCAAGUCUUGCAAUAAAUCAGUCUUCAUAGAGUCAUAGAACCAUAGAAUGGUUUGGGUUGGAAGGGACCUUAGAGAUCAUCUCAUUCCGACCUGCCUGCCAUGGGCAGGGACACCUUCCAGUAGACCAGGUCGCUCAGAGUCCCAUCCAAGCUGGCCUUGAACACUCACAGGAAUGGGGCAUCCACAACUUCUCUGGACAAUGUGUUCCACCACCUUCAUAGUAAUGAAUUUCUUUCUAAUACCUAAUCUGAGCCUACCGUCUUUCAGUAUGAAGCCAUUCCCCCUUGUCCUGUCACUACACGCUCUUGUAAAUAGUCUCUAUCCAACUUUCUUUUGGGCUCCCUUCAGGUACUGAAAGGCUGCAAUUAGGUUUCUCUGGAGCCUUCUCUUUUCCAGGCUGAACAAUCUCAAUUCCCAUAGCUUUCAUUUCCAUCUUCAUGUUAGGUAGAUAAUUCCCAAGUUUUCUUGUAAGCUGCCAUUGUUGCCAUUACUGGUUGCUUUGCAAAGGGGCAGGGCAGCCAAAGUUUCGUGUCAGUGCUAUUUGAUGCAGUGCACCGAGUGGGGUGACAAAGGACCCUUCUAAAGUAACCACAAGUCAAAAGUAUAGCAGGACACCUCUAAAUUCACCCAGACAGAAAAAUGGCUUACACUGAGAGUAGCCAGACACUGGCACAAGUGCAUAGAGAUGUUGCUACCUACCCUGUAGUUAUCCAAAAUUAGAGUGGACAAAGCCACAAGCAAUCCAGUGUUGUCUUUGCCUGCUCUGAGCAGGGGAUAUGCCAGCUUUCAAAAGCUCGUUCCAACAAAACCAAUCUGGUUAUUAUCUGGCGGUGAAAGCCUGCAAAAUGCUGUGGACAGGAGUCUCCUAAAAGGUUUCCUUCAGAGAACAGGGGUGGCAUCUACCACACAAAGGUAGUUAGGGAAGUUACCUUGAUCUUGGCUAUAAGUCUGCAAAGCCAGUCUUUCUUACCCCACCUUCUGACCUGUUGGUUAAGGGAGUGAACUUGCUCUGCAGCAAAGACCUUUUGUGUCAUUCUUUUGGUAUGGGUGAUUCAAAACCAGAGAGAGAUAAGGUACUCAAAUCAGUUGUUGAGCAGCGUGCCUUUUUGCAUCCAACUCUUUGAACCAGGAGAUAAAGCAAAGCUUAAGCAAUGUGGCAAAGUUUGUGGGCCAAUUCAUUUCAUUCAUUUAUCUUUUCACCUUUCUAUCUCACUCUUCGAUAUCUUUCUCUUCUGCCCCAUUUUCCAUCAGACACUUGAUUUAAACUCUUCUGACACUCCCCACAGCAUUCCUGACUACCUGACUGUUGGCAACUGCCACUGAAUCGUGGUAAGAAAUGAAGCACACUUAGUGCUUACCACAACUAUUUUGACCUUCUGUUGUUUUGGCAAAUAGAACACCUCAGUGGAAAUAAGGCUGUCUGGAAAAUAAAGACAAAAAAGCAAAAGAAUAAGGAAGGGAAUCAUGACAAUGUUUAGAGAUUUUAAAUUUGGUUGGAUACUCUUAUUUCUUUUUUAGUGUCUGUGUUCCAGCCAGCCCUGCUCACAGUACAACAGCGUUUGGCAAGGUCCACCAGAGCAGAUCAAGCAGUGCCAGGGCACGGGCCCAAGAGCUGGAACUUGACCAUCUAUACCAUUAAACUGUUAGCACAGGCUCUGCCUUGUGCUCUGUCUGGACUAGCUAAUGCUGUCAUAAACAAUUCUCAGGCAUGGCUUGGGGAUUAGCGAGGGCCAGCAGCCAUUCCCAAUUGGCAGUUUGGAUAUAGCCACCUUGUUUUGGAGGGUAAAAGUGUAUAAUCCUGUGAAUGUGGCCAGGCCAUAUCAUUUGGCCUCAGAGCCAUAUAAUAGGUCCUGGACCUGUUUUGUUUUCUAGUUACUGGAAUGGCUUUGUGUUUGAGGCAAGUGUAAUUGGUUUUACUUGACUCCACAGUUUCAUACUUGACUGAGUUGUAUCUGAACAAUAAGGAGCACAAGUACAUCUCGACUUUGUCUCUUUAGGCCAGUGUACCUGUGCACUGAGAUGGUGUGGUCUGUCCCUGUUAUAAAUUGUCACAACAACUAGAAUAGUUUGUGAACUCACUUUUCCAUUACAAAUACAAAUACACAGUCUAAGGGAGUCUAGAAAUAUAUCUUCUAGGGAGGUUUUUUCAGCUGGUUUUCAGAAAUCUUUGUCAUUGUUUUGAAUAUGGGCCACCAAUUGCUGGCAAAUUCAGUUUCUGUAUCAGAAUCAGUAUUUUCUGCAGAUGUGUCUGGUGCCAGGAAAUGAUUUUUAUAUUUUCUGUUGUAUCUGGAAGUAAGAAAUUGUGUUAGAUAUUGGACAGAUGUUAGCAUACAUCUGGUAUGAAAGAUCAUGUUAGUCAUUAAAUGUUGGAGUAGAAACACCUCUCACCUACCUACACAAUUGAUUUUUCAUUUACUAGCCCAUCUAUUUUCUUCUUUUCUUGCCACAGCAAUGAAUAGAAAAUAAUGCUACUUUCUGCCAGUGAAGGCCCAAUAAACCUGUGCUAGUUGCCAGGCCUAGGGAAAUUCCAAGUGUGGUUAUAUCCUUUUGUCCUGCCCUGUUUUCACCUUUACGCUUCCGUUUCCAUCUGCUCGAGGUACAGAUAUGUACUCAUCUUGAUUUUUUUUUGAGAUGAAUUAUGGAUCCUUUUAUUAGUGGAAUUUGCCUGAUUCUGUGAGCAGAGAGCUCCAGACCACCUUGCUAGUGCAUCCUACUAGCCCUGCAAGAAGAGAAACCCGAGAUUUUGGUUACCCUUCAGCAUUUUAGUCAUCAUAUGAACCAAAAUUAGUGUUUCCACAUGUGGCUCUCUCAGACUACACACUCCCUCUUGCACAGCCACAACCUGGGCAAGCAAAAUGAAAGUAGCAUGAUUAAUAUGUGUCCUCAUGUGAGGCAGAUUGUGAUUUUUUGCCAGUGCUGACAAAUUUGGAGACUUUUCAGUGCCAGAUAUUUUAUCUGAAGUAUUUCUUGAAAGAUAUGUCUACUGGUGCAUUUAUGAUGGCACCUAGAUAGAAAUCCAUGACUAUAUGUUAUAUUUGUGAUAGUUCCCCUCAGAAGAGGCUAUAGAAACAAAGAUUAGUGCACCUCACCUGUGGUGUUAUGUCUUGAAGACCUCUGGGGACUAACUUUCUUCAUCCCCUCAACCAUAAAAUCUACCAAAUCUACCUUUGUAGAGGAACAGUUCACGAGUCUAUUUGAGAACAUCUGAGGGGUUAAUAGUGGGGUGUUUUGCCACACAGGUUCAGUCAAAUAUAACACUGUUAGCCCCGGGUAGUCGUUCAGUGCAGUUGGAAAUGAGCUUCUGUUUCUCAGCUCUUUUCCCUUUGUGUUUCUGCUUCAUUGUGUUUUGUGCCCUGGCUGUUUUCCUUUCCUUUGGAGGUGAGUAUUCCUGGACAGAAUGAAAGUACAUAGAUGCACGAAGUGUGUACCACUGCUGAAACCUUUUUACAAGAGCUACAAAGAAAGGAAGGAAGAACUGCAGUCGCAAGAAGCAAAUCUAAAUAAGCUCCCACUCCACCUUUUUCAAUUUACUGGAGGAAAUAUCUUUAUUCAUAUCAUUUGACUUUUUGUUUGUUAGAUCAAAUUGAGCCAGUUGGAAUGAGCCUUGAUGAUCAGAACACAAGUUCUGAAAACCUCUGUUUAGCUGCUGGUCUCCGUGCAAUUGGUUUGCUUAAAUUUGCUGUAAUAACCUUUUAAGAGUCGUGUACCCAUUCUUCACUGAGGACCCUGCUGUGCAUUGUGAUUAUGUUCUCUGUUGCCUCCCUGAAUAUUUAACAUGAUCAAAGUGUUGUGUUGUGGGGCUUAGUUUUGGGGGAAGUUUUUCUUUUUGUCUAGGUCAGUCCCGUGGCCCCAGUCUCCUCCAAGCUUUUAAUUCCAAAAUAUGAAGUUGUGUUGCUUGUUAUCUAUUACUCCCUGGGUCUCAGUUCUCCUUUACUUCUUCUCCACCCUUUCCUUUUUGAAGUAUCUGCUUAGUAAAGUAUUGAGCAAGCAUGCUGAGUAGCUCUGAUAAUUAGGCAAUUUCAGUUUGGGGAUGGAUGCUGGAUGUUAAGUCAUGGGAUGGACACUGGUUGUGUUGGAAGGCAAGGUACUCUGUCGCUGAGUAGGAAGGAGUUGAAAUGCCCUUUCUAUCAGUGCCACUCACCAGUGAGCCAAGGGGAGAGCGCUGAAAAGAAACACGAUUGCGUGGCCUUCUCCGCCCUCUUUCCCAGGGAAAGCAGCAGAUGUUGGCAGUGAAUAUAGUGAAGUGCAAACGAGUAAAAUAAUGAAGUGAUAGUUUAAUGGAAUUAUUAAUGGGAUUUGUGUUCAAAUAGUGAACAAGGAUUGAUUUUUAUUAACAUGGGUUUUAAACAUGUAAACUUAUGCAAAAGAUUAUACCCCACUCACUUUCCUUUCUCUGGAAGAGUGUUUAUAGAUUACACUGUUUGUGCAGGGUUCUCCAAACUUCUUUAAAUAUUGCCCUUUCUCUCACUUAUCUCCUGGUUCUUCUCAAUGUGUAGCUCUUCAUCUAAAUCUGCAUAAUACACUCAGAAAUUUAACUGAACGAUGAGGAAACCUUGGAAGUAAAACUGAAGUAGUAGGUGUUCAGUGGGAGUUUGGUGUUUGCUUGUUCAUUCUCACCAGAAUAAAAGAUGGCAACAUGACAGAUAGCUCAAAAUGCUAAAGUGCAGCUCUCCAGAAGCUGCGAAGCCUUUGCUAGAAGGGGCUCUGUAUGUACAAAGUGGUGGUGAAGACGUCAUAAUUACGAGCUGACAUUUAAAGAAAUGUCAGAAGCAUUCAAACACCCCCCUACUCAGCUUCCACCCAUGUAUCUUUUUGUGUCCCCGAUCCUGCCAUCUGUUAUCCCAAGGACUUGGGUUUUGAUUACCUUUUUGUUUGCUUUUCUGAUAAGUGUUUUGUUUAUCCUCUGUGCCUGGCAUGUGCUUCCAGAGGUGUUCUGGAAGCCCCUUGCUCUCUUUUAUGUGGAUUUCUCCUGAAGAACUAUUUACCACCACAACGCUGGCAAAAACUAAUCCUCUGACUAUGGCUGGACUGGGGAAAUAUAAUGAUAUCAGGCCAGUGGCAAAGCAUGAGUGCUCCAUGCUGUGGUUGGCUACCGAAGUUGAGCUUGUCAGUCCUUGAGAAGUUGAGAAGUCAGCUGAGAAAUUGACAGUGUCAUCAAGACCAAGUCCUGAAGGCCUGGCCAAGAGGAUUUGUCUGUCACCUGAAAGACUGAGCUCGUGGACUGUGUCUCGUGGUAGGAACGAACAGACUCGGCAGUAUUUCCCUGGAAAAAGCGAUCUUCCUGAAGACAGCAAUCCCUCUGCUGCUCAUUGGGCCAUUUGGCACAUCUACAUCCUCUCCUGAUCCUGACAAAAUGUCACUUCUCUCUGCUCAGUUUUCUACUGACUCAUCAACCUUUUCAGUUGUAUUUGUGUUCUUCUUAAUGAAAAAUAAAGAAAAAAAAGAAGAAAAUAGAAAGAGCUGUUUCUUUUUAAUGAAAUUUCUUGUAUGAGGACAGCAAAUCUCAAAUUGUUUCAUUGAUCUUCUUUGUUUUGUUUUAUUACUUAAACAUUAAAAAUGAAAUAGAUAAGACAUAAA